rnacentral:misc_RNA from 1 species
GGAAAAUAUUUUGGGCUGUUUUAAAUACGCAAAAUAAUUUUAAAAAUCAUAAAAAGAAAAGAACAAGUGUAGCUAUAUAAGCUUAGUGUUAUUACCACAAGAAAACAAGUGAAACUACAAACGUUUUCGGUGCUGCUUUCGUGUUUCUCGUCUCCUCGUUUUCGUAUGACUUUUCUCUAUCUAUUUUCCUCAGCGGUUACAAAUGCACUUGUUUGUGUACAUAGUAUAAAUCAUCAACUUAAAUUAUUUAAAUAAAGUUUUACUUAUUUACUUUUUUUAAUCGUCUACAUCAUUCACAUUUUUAGUUUUCUGUAAUCUAAUAUCACACUGUUCCUCUAAACAAACGGCAUUAAAGCAUUGCGGCGGACACAAUAUGGAAGACCCCAAUCGUAUGAUGGCUCAUACGGGCGGUAUGAUGGCUCCGCAAGGAUAUGGUAUGCCAGGUCAGGAUGAUGGACAAAAUACUGGAAACGAAAAUGAAGUGCGUAAACAGAAAGAUAUCGGUGAAAUUUUGCAGCAGAUCAUNAGCAUUUCGGAGCAAUCAUUAGACGAGGCGCAAGCAAGAAAACACACUUUAAACUGUCAUCGUAUGAAGCCGGCUUUGUUUUCGGUGCUUUGUGAGAUUAAGGAGAAAACCGUCCUUUCCAUUCGUAAUACGCAAGAGGAAGAACCACCAGAUCCACAGUUAAUGCGUCUGGAUAAUAUGCUUAUCGCAGAAGGUGUUGCAGGACCAGAAAAAGGUGGUGGCGGUGCAGCUGCCGCUUCAGCAGCAGCAGCAAGUCAAGGAUCUUCCUUGUCGAUCGAUGGAGCUGACAACGCAAUUGAGCAUUCAGAUUAUCGAGCAAAGCUUGCACAGAUUCGUCAGAUAUAUCACCAAGAGCUAGAGAAGUAUGAACAGGCGUGCAAUGAAUUCACCACACAUGUUAUGAACUUACUUCGAGAACAAAGUAGGACCAGGCCAAUUACACCUAAGGAAAUUGAACGCAUGGUCCAAAUAAUUCACAAAAAAUUCAGCUCAAUACAAAUGCAGUUGAAGCAAUCGACGUGUGAAGCUGUAAUGAUAUUACGAUCUCGAUUUCUGGACGCUAGACGUAAGCGUCGCAAUUUUAGUAAGCAAGCUUCCGAAAUUCUCAAUGAGUAUUUCUAUAGUCACUUGAGCAACCCAUAUCCAUCUGAGGAAGCAAAAGAGGAGUUGGCGAGAAAGUGUGGAAUAACAGUUUCCCAAGUUUCUAAUUGGUUCGGUAACAAACGCAUUCGAUACAAAAAGAACAUAGGUAAGGCACAGGAAGAGGCCAAUUUAUAUGCUGCUAAGAAGGCAGCUGGUGCUUCGCCAUAUUCAAUGGCUGGCCCACCGAGUGGCACCACUACACCUAUGAUGUCGCCAGCACCUCCACAGGAUUCUAUGGGCUACCCCAUGGGCUCAGGCGGGUACGAUCAGCAGCAAUACGAUAACAGUAUGGGCGGUUACGACCAUACUCUACAUCAAGACCUUAGCCCUUGAGGCGGUUUAACAUACCACACUUCACAUGUAUACGAGCAAAAGUGAACAUAAAAAAUCACUUGUGAAAUAUAUUAAGAUACAUAUUUUUAUUAUUAAGUUAAAAACUUGAUAUUCUUUGUCAAUAUCUUAAUAUUAUAAUGUUAAUUUCAGACCAAGUAUUCAAUAUUUUUACAAUUCCUACAAAUCAUAUAAAAUUACUGAUACCUUAACUUUUUGAUUCCAAUAUACUUAUUUCUGUUGUCCUAAUCAAUAACACACCCAGUUCAUUUACCUAGGAGAUCUUUUGUUAUAAGCUUAAAAAGCAUAAAAACUUCACUUUAUAUGUUCGUUUUUGCUCCGCAGUGUGUAUACGCAAUUAACAAUAAUGUAUACGUAAUAUUGCAUACGAUAAUAUGUAGGCAUCUAUAUAUAUAUAAUUUGAAUUAAGCGUAACAAUCUUUUAUUGAAAUGAAAAUCCGUAUACGAAACUUUAGAUAUAAAUAUUAACAUACAUCAUAGUAAUAAAAAUAUAAAAAACAUGUGCAAAUUCAGAAGCAGCUAUCAAAAUCUACAAUUUUAAUUGUAUGGUAACAGCUAAAACAGCUAAUUAUAGAGUGCAAGUUCGAUGAUGUUUGUAGCACAACCUUUUAAAUGACGAUACAUCUCAAAAAAGGUAGAUAAAAAAAAGUUAUACAAGCUAAAGCAAAAAUCUCAAUAUGAGCACAUUUACUUAUCUAUUACCUAUGUACGUAACUAUUGUACUUUUGGCCAACAUUCUUCAAGUAUUUAAUAGAAAGUAUUGUAACAAGUUCUCUAAUAUAACUAUAAAAAGCAUUACCUUCAAUUUAUAAUGUGUAAUUAUUUUAAAUUAAUAAAGUAUAUAAAAAUGUGGCAAACAA